rnacentral:tRNA from 1 species
GGUGGUAUAGCCAAGUGGAUAAGGCCCAGGUCUGCAAAACCUGUACCCUCGGUUCGAAUCCGAGUAUCACCU